rnacentral:rRNA from 1 species
UACGUAGGUGGCAAGCGUUGUCCGGAUUUAUUGGGUUUAAAGGGUGCGUAGGCGGCCUUGUAAGUCAGUGGUGAAAUACUCCAGCUUAACUGGAGGGGUGCCAAUGAUACUGCAGGGCUUGAGUACAGAUGAGGUAGGCGGAAUUGACGGUGUAGCGGUGAAAUGCAUAGAUAUCGUCAAGAACACCGAUAGCGAAGGCAGCUUACUGGGCUGUAACUGACGCUGAGGCACGAAAAGUGUGGGGGAUCAAACAGG